AAGUCGUAACAAGGUCUCCGUAGGUGAACCUGCGGAGGGAUCAUUAAACAAAUCAAAUAAACCAUGAAAGAUUAACAUGAGAGAAUAAUAGUGUAAGCUAUAAUCGAAUGUUAAUCUUUCUCAAGGUUGUAUAAAGAGAAAUUUGUGUAAGCAAAAAGUAUUUUUAUACAGGAGUUAAUGUUGAUUUUCAAGUAUAUAUAAGAUUUCAUCUUUUGUUGCUUGAAGUUGAUAUUGCUCUAAUAAAGACAGCAGCAUCGCUAAAGGCGAAGAUCUGUCUUUAUAACAAACGAUAUAUUAAAUUGACAAAUAAUGACAAAAUUUAAAUAAUCAACUUUUAACAAUGGAUCUCUUGGCUCUUAC
rnacentral:misc_RNA from 1 species